UCACGGUAUUGCCUAAUGUGAUGCGGUCUUAUUUUUACCAUGGCCACAUUUAAAAUAAUUGCCUAAAUUAGUCAUGGUUGAUUCUUCUUUAAUUGCAUCAAGAGGCGCCAUUUCUGUUUUCGAAGAGCAAAGUUGAACGAUGUGCUUUGGAAAAGUUGUAAAUUAUAAUUAAAUUUAAAUAAAAAUUGCUUGAGAAGUGCCAAAAUUAACAGAUAUUAUAAAAAGUCUGAAGACAUCAGGAAAUGAAAAUGCUUUCCCAAGAUGUUCUUCGAAUGAUUACGGUAGUUUUUUACAUGGAUUACUGCAUGAAUGCAAUUGGAUCUGGAUGCUACAUUUCCAAUACCAGCUGCCUGCUAAAGUCGAGCUAUAGUAUACAAAUAAUAAAUGUUAAAUACUGUAAAAUUGUUAGUCAUGUUAAUAAAAAUGAUUGAUUCCGUUGUUUGACUAUGCAUUCGGGUUUGCGAAUUUGUGGUAUCAGAUUUUCCAUAUAUUCGCAAAUUCAGAUGCAUUGCGCGUGAAACAUUAUCAAGUUCUGGAAGAUGUCACAAAUACUACAAACGUACAGUGCAUUUUACUACACAAAUGUUGUCAAUUUAAACGCAACUGACGGUUCACAGAAUAACUCAAAAUUAUUGUUAUGGUUACCACAAAACAUGGUAAUAUUUACCGACUCUCUUAUACGCAGUCCCCAUGGUAAAUCUCACUACAAAAUCCGUUUGAGAUGAGCGUAAUGUGUAGUCUGCACAAAUAAAGUGGCGUUGUGCAUUUAAAUUAAACCAUCAACAUGGUAAUUUUGACCGCAAGGCUAU